GGAGCCCGCGGCCCGCGAAUGUCGGGUCGGGGUGCUCAUAGGCGGAGACACUGGCCAGUCGGGGUCGGCAACGGCCUGAUGCUCUAGUACGACCAGCUGUGGCUGGUAGGGAACGGGUUGAUGGUGCGGCUGGGUUCGAUGUAUAGCACCCUGUUGGGUCCUGAAGGAACAACCGUUGGUUGUCUUUCAGAGCCAUGUGGCGGGCGGGAGCUCGUCUGGCGCCAGGCACGGCCUGGUGUGGCAUACCGCCGGCGGUUGCCGGGUUUGGUGUCACGCUUGUGGGUUGUGGGUUGGU
rnacentral:misc_RNA from 1 species